UCGAACGGACAGACUUCGGUCUGUUAGUGGCGAACGGUCGCGUAACACGUAGGCAACCUGCCCGAAAGUGGGGGACAACAGCCCGAAAGGGCUGCUAAUACCGCAUGUGGUCAAUUUAUCGCAUGAUUGAUUGACUAAAGGAUUUAUUCGCUUUCGGAUGGGCUUGCGGCCUAUCAGGUAGUUGGUGGGGUAACGGCCUACCAAGCCGAUGACGGGUAGCUGGUCAGAGAGGAUGGUCAGCCGGAUUGGGACUGAGAUACGGCCCAGACUCCUACGGGGGGCAGCAAUUAGGAAUCUUGCGCAAUGGGGGAAACCCUGACGCAGCGACGCCGCGUGCGGGAUGAAGGCCUUCGGGUCGUAAACCGCUUUUCUGGGGGAAGAAUACUGACGGUACCCCAGGAAUAAGCCCCGGCUAACUACGUGCCAGCAGCCGCGGUAAUACGUAGGGGGCGAGCGUUG
rnacentral:rRNA from 1 species